GAUGAAGAACGCAGCGAAAUGCGAUACGUAAUGUGAAUUGCAGAAUUCAGUGAAUCAUCGAAUCUUUGAACGCAUAUUGCGCUCUCUGGUAUUCCGGAGAGCAUGCUUGUUUGAGUAUCAGUAAACACCUCAACUUCCAUAUCUUUUUUGAAAUGGGAGUUGGACUUGAGUGAUCCCAACGCUUUUCCUCACCGAAAAGUGGCGGGUUACUUGAAAUGCACGUGCAGCUGGACUUUUCUCUGAGCUAUAAGCAUAUCUAUUUAGUCUGCCUAAAAACAGAUUAUUACCUUUGCUGCAGCUAACAUAAAGGAGAUUAGUUCUUGUGCUGACUGAUGCAGGAUUCACAAAGACAGGCUUCGGCCGACUUUGUAAACUCGAUCUCAAAUCAAGUAAGACUACCCGCUGAACUUAAGCAUAUCAAUAAGCGGAGGA
rnacentral:misc_RNA from 1 species